GGUUGAGCAUAGCUUUCAAGGUGCGUUUCUUCAGGGGCGGGAGAA
rnacentral:ncRNA from 1 species